UGCGUAGGUGGUCAUAUUAGUCUUCUGUUAAAGGUCCGGGCUCAACCCGGGAGAUGCGGAGGAAACGGUAUGACUAGAGGGUGAGAGAGGUGUACGGAACUCACGGUGUAGGGGUGAAAUCCGUUGAUAUCGUGGGGAACACCAAAUGCGAAGGCAGUACACUGGCUCAUUCCUGACACUGAGGCACGAAAGCGUGGGUAGCGAACG
rnacentral:rRNA from 1 species